AGUGAACGCUGGCGGUAGGCCUAACACAUGCAAGUCGAACGGCAGCACAGUAAGAGCUUGCUCUUACGGGUGGCGAGUGGCGGACGGGUGAGGAAUACAUCGGAAUCUACUUUUUCGUGGGUGAUAACGUAGGGAAACUUACGCUAAUACCGCAUACGACCUACGGGUGAAAGCAGUGGAUCUUCGGACCUUUCGCGAUUGAAUGAGCCGAUGUCGGAUUAGCUAGUUGGCGGGGUAAAGGCCCACCAAGGCGACGAUCCGUAGCUGGUCUGAGAGGAUGAUCAGCCACACUGGAACUGAGACACGGUCCAGACUCCUACGGGAGGCAGCAGUGGGGAAUAUUGGACAAUGGGCGCAAGCCUGAUCCAGCAAUACCGCGUGGGUGAAGAAGGCCUUCGGGUUGUAAAGCCCUUUUGUUGGGAAAGAAAAGCAGCAGAUUAAUCCCCCGCUGUUUUGACGGUACCCAAAGAAUAAGCACCGGCUAACUUCGUG
rnacentral:rRNA from 1 species